UAGCCCUCACCAGCUAAACCAUGCUGAGAAGCGGGUAGGCUAGGUAGUAGCCCACAGCAGAGCCGAGGAUCACGCCGAAGAAAAUCCAGGUGUUGUAGGACAUGACAGCCAGCAUCAUGAAGUAGCCUAUGACCACCUGAAGGACAUGGAUUACAGACUGGCCAAAGUGACAGAAAAGCCACCUAAAUGAAAAGUAGAGCCAAGUUAGUGUCGGUAAUGAGCUGGAAGCUAGGAGCUGGUGUCAGGAACUAGAAAAAGCGGCUGAGUUAACAGGCCCAGCUUAUUUAUAAUGUGUAUGCUUAACUCAGAAGAGAUUUAUUUCUAAAGAGCUGUAUGAGAAACCAUACAGGGAACAGGGCCUGGCACAAGGAGCCUUGGAUAAUCACGUCUCUACUACAUUCAGCUCUGAGCUUCCUGGCAUACAAGGCAGAAAGGGAAAAUGAGGCAUGUAUUGUCAUGUCUGCUAAAGACUAAUACAAAAUCAUCAGUAAGGCAGGUAUUUUUUUUUCUUUCUGCAUCUACUGUGGAAGGCAGUAUUACAAUGGAAAGAUCAACUCCUAGCUCUGCCACUUACUAUCUUGUGGCUUAGCACAAACAUCUUAACCUCUCUGAACUGAAAUUUCCUUAUCAGUAAAACAAGAAUAAGAAUACCUCCCUCGAGGGGUGGGCGUGAACGGCAGAGACACGCGUGUAAGGACAGGCCGGCUCAUGAAGCACAGCUAGAGAGGGCCGAAGCAGACCCUAUGUGGCUGCCUUACCAGACCAGGGUGGGAAGGAGGCUCGGGCUCCCCCACCAAGCCUGCUCCACUGCUGACAGCAAUUCCUACUAUUUGUGUAGGGACAGCUGCAGAUUCCGUCUUGGCUUUGGAAGCCCUGGUGACCUAAGAAAGGCUGCUGAGAUUUGAAGGAGGCACUGGGUGGACACUCUUGUUGCCAGACCGAGGCCUGCAGGAGAGUUCUGGGGAUCUGAGCCUCCCCAGUGGGCUGUUCGUGGAGCUCUGGCCUAGGCAUCAGGGGACCCCUGCUCUGGUUCACCUCACAACUUAUCCACUGUAAGCACUUUGGCAAGUCCUGGGCCUCAGUUUGCUUUCCAUGAAGUGGGGCUAAUGCCCUCCGGGCCCAGCCUGUCUCUCAGGGUGAAUGUGAGUACGCUGCCAUUCCCCACACACUCUGCCUGUUACCUGAGGCGGGUUGUGCUGACCGGGGGCGAGUCUGAGCCUGAAGAAUCCUGGUCUGUCUCCUCAGUGAGCUGGCUGGCGGGGAUGGACAUGCUCACUACAGCCCAGUAGAGCAGCUUGGCUUUCCCAACCUUGAUGCUUUCAUACAACACAGCCAGGAACAGGACCACCAGCACUGAAAGGGCCAUGCCUGUCAAACGAAGCGGAGUUGCAGAGACCUGGACAGGCAAGCACUGAUCCCCUUCUGGCAGCUUCCCCUGGGACCUGGGAUAGGUGGAGAAGAGCACCUCCACCCAGUCCCUCUCAAUCCAUUCCACCUCUCUCUCUCGCAUCUUCUUCCCCACCCUGCUUGGGCUCAGAACUUGACUCUCUUUCCCCCUCCAGCUCUUUCUUGGUCAGGAUGGCCUUUUGGGUAUGUCUUUGAGAUCAGGAAAAGAAGCCAUCUGUAAAGCCAGCGGCCAAGGGUGAAGAGGUCACACACACUGCCCUCAGCUCCCCCCUCCGCCACCUCCCCCGCCCCCCAACAGGCAGCACAAGUCUGUCCUGACUUGUUAAGAGCAUGUAUGCAAGCUCCUGUGUAUGAGGAUGUACACAGAAAAGUCUGGAAGGAAGGAGAGACAACAAGAGUCAUAAUUAUCUGUGCAAACUAGAAUAUGAGAUUUUUAUUUUCUUCUCACCUAAUUUUCCUAAGCUUCUACUGUAUGGCUUUUAUAAUAGUGGGGAAAAAAAACCCACUAAAUUAUUUGACAGAAAACAUGAAGUGCUUAUGAGAGCUGCUGUAAAAUUAGCUGCUAAUUGCUACUUCUGUUUUAUAAGACAGGGAGGGAUACUAAAUGGUCCAGCUAUAGUUAUUUUAUUGGGCUCCCAGGAGGAAAUCAGCUACAAAAGAUGCAGGUUAUAUUUUAAAACAUAAAAUUACAUGUAAUUACGUGCACAUGGCAUGAAUUCAACCAGUACAACAGGGUAUAGAGUGAAAGGUAAGUCUUCCCAGCCCAGUGCCUAAAAUCCCAGUCCUCUCCCCAGAGCAUUUUCCUAUAUAGCUCUCCGGGGACACCUGCUGUAGGUAUCUCCCUGUGCAUAUUCUUCUGCAUCUGACAUCAUCCAAGUACACUGUCCCCUCAGUUCAUACAGACCUACCUUAUUUCUGUGGUUUCGAAGUAUCAGAUACACUCUGUUUUCCAAAGAUGGCCACCUCACCCUAUUCCACCCCACAUGCUCUUAUGUCAAACACCCCUGCCAUCAAGUGGUGGGGGCCAUGCCCCCCUCUUUAGGCUGAGAAGACCUUUGUGACUUUCUCACCCAGUAAAGGUGGAAAUAAGGCUCUGUGACUUCCAAAGCUAGGUCUUAAAAAUCCCAGGCGCUUCUAACCUUGUUCUCUGGACACACUCAUGCCCCAGAACCCAGCUGCCCUGCCACGAGGAAGCCCAGACCGCAGGAGACACCACAUGUGGGUGUUCAACCAGCAACCCCUGCCGGAGGUCCUCGCUGAUGACCAGCAGCGGCCAGGAGACACGAGCCUGAGGCAGCCUUCAGGAGGACUCCAGCUGCAGCCACUGUCUGACUACACCCGCCGGAGAGGCUGUGAGUGGGGACGGCUUAGCUGAGCCCAGUCAACUCAGGACUUCCAGGAGGAAUACUACAAUGACUGGGAUUAGGGGGGCGGGGGUGACCACUGUAGGGAUGACCGUGAUUUAGUUGAUCAGCACCUGUGGGGCUGGGCACUUGGGCCGCUUUCCACCUACUAUUAAGAUACAGUUUUUUAACCUGAAACGGAACUUUCAGCUCUGCCUUUUCAAGUCACACCAAUAUCAUUCUCUUGCAAAUUGGUGUCUCAUUUGAGGUCCAGCCUGCAACAGCUGUUAUGGGCUUCUGAGUGGAUGCUAGGCAUGGUAGGAGGUAGGUGUUGGGGUGUUACUAGGAGGCAGCAAGAGGCCUCCAUCUAGUUCUGGCUCUGAUGCUACUGGCUCUGUGACCCUGGACAAGUCUCUUCCCCUCUUUGGGUUUCUGUUCCUUCUUUAGUCACAGAGGCAAAAGUUGUAUCCUCGGCCUGUCUCUGGGCCCUUGUGACAAUCAGUGAGUUCAUGGAGCCUCUUGUGAUCUAAAGAGCAGUGCUUGCAAAUGGAAUUAUAAAUGUGAAGUUCCUGCUCAAUGUUUAUGUGAGAGGAGUCAGGCUCACUUAAAUGUCCACAGAGUGUAACACCAAAGAGAACCCAGGCUGUCCACUGCCUAGAGCAACAAAGUUUUCCGAGCUACAAGCUUAUUAGGCUUUCCAAUUUUUACCUGCAGGACUGUGGACACUCCAGAAAUCAAACAGAAGCACCACCUCGUUGGAGAAGAUGAAAUGCAUCUGAAAGAAAAGGGAAUUUGCAUUUUAGGGUGUUUAAGGCAGUGAAAGUCAUGGUCCCUAAUGCUUUCCAGCAGCCUCCCCUAAAGGUCCAGAUGAAUGAGGUCACUGGUCUUAAGUGCUGGAAGGGCCAUCAGUGGUCAUUAGGAUCAACUGAGGCCAAACAGGGCAGUGGGUUAGCAGCAGAGCUAUAAUGAGCUGGUCCUACUCCAGGUGGACAUGAGGUAUAGGAGAUAACACACACCUCGGUGUCCUCAGGUCAUACUGAGCUGUCCCCUCUGUGCCCUCCAAACCCAAUGGGGAAGCAGUACACUGAGCAGUGACUGCCUCUUACCCCCAGGGCCCCAGUCAUUCUGCUCUGGCUGUGUGUAUCAUGGAGGGGCCAGGGGCAGCUGUCUCCACUCCACUCCACUCCACAUCCGUCCACUCAUUCAUUAAACAUUUGCUGACCCCACUCUGUGCCCAGCAUUCUGAACAAAGGUUAAUGUUUCUGCCUUUGAUGAGCUCCCAGCCUUAUAGAAAGAAUGAAGGUAGGUGCAGUGACCAUGCUGCCCAUCUGAAUGCCCUUCUCAAAGAGCGCCUUGCCCAGCCUGCGUUUGGGGUGGCAUCAAUGGCUUUUCAUACAUUACCUCAUUUCACAACUAUAUUCUGUGUGACAGGAACAAUUAGGCCCAUCACACAGAAAACUGGGGAAACUAGUCUCAGAAGAGUUAAGUAAUUUGCUGAAGGUCACAAAGCUAGUAAGUUGGCAGAGCUGGGAUUCAGAGCCAGGUCUAGCUGGAAGCCAUAGUGCUGUACAUUCCAGGAUACCAUGCUGCCUCUUGCUCGCCAACAAAGGACAAGGGAGCCGGGUGGUGAUCCUCAAUACCCACACCAGGCUUAAUGACUGUAUUGGGCAAGAUUAAAGUCGGAGGGAUCAAUGUUAGUUCACCGUCUCAGGGAAAGGAAGGUCCCCUCUCAUCAUCAAGUAGGACCUCAGUUAGCAGCAGUGGCUCUGCAAGCACUGUCAGUGCUCCUCCAGCUAAAGAGAUCCUGGCUGAGGGGGUUAGGUGAUAGAACACUUUGCCUUCUAAGUCAACUAUUAGUAUCCCCAAGUAUCAGAGCUAGAAUGUCCUUAGAAAGUUUGUGUGUGUGUGAUAUAAUUGACAUGUAACUUUUUAUAUUAGUUUCGAGUAUAUAGCAUGAUUCUGGUAUUUGUAUCUACUGUGAAACGACCACCACGUUUUGAGACUAGUUAAUAUCCAUCACCACACAUAGUUACAAGAACAUUUAAGACCUACUCUCAGAAAAAAAAAGGACCUACUCUCUCAGCAACUCUCAUACAGUAGUAGUAACCAUAGUCACCAUGCUGGGCAGCACAUCCCUGGGCCGUAUUCAUUUUCUCAGAGGCUUUUAGUCCCCUGGCUUUCAGUUUUGAUUUUGGGUUUGUUUUUGUUUUUUUUGCCAGGGAUCACGACCAAAUAAAGUCUUCCUUGUAACUCCACCAUAUGUAAAACCGGGGCUCUGAGUGAAGUGUAAAAAACACUGAUGUCAUCCAACUUGGCCCCUUUCUACCCCCAUUUCAUUCCCAUAUGGGGGAAAUGAGUCCCAACAGGGGAAAGGAUUUGCCCAAGACCUCAUAAGAAAAUGGAAACCUGGGCAGUCAUUUAAAAACCAUGUGGAAGAAUUCUAAAAUAAAAAUAUAGCUUCUUGCUCCCUCAAUGUGAGAGGGGUGCUUGUUUAGUGUAAGAGCUGAAACACACCAAAAAGAAAGUAGAAAUCAUUUUGAGUCUUACUACCCAGAGACCUCCCUUGUUAAGAUUUCAAAAAGCAUAUUUGUUGAUAGGGCAAAAUGUUCACUAAAGAUAAACAUGAGAAAACAAGUACAAAUUGUCUCGUGAAACUCUAUUUACGCCGGAGUCACUCAUUUGGCUUCAGACGAAGGCUCGAGCACCAUCGCUGCAGUGGGAAAUGUGGCAGGUGUUUGCACCAUGCCCCUUCCCUGAGUUCACUUAAUAAAGCAGUUGGCAUGACUGGAAUGUCCCCAACGGCUAGCUAAUCAGAGAAGUUCCCUGACUGGCUUCCUUCUAUCAUCCUUGGGCCUGGGCCAGAUGUCUCAGGGGCCUCAAACAGCUUUUGCUACAGACGUGAACACCCACAAAGCAACAGAAGUAUUUCGGAUGACAAACAUUGGCUUCUGUUUUUGCUAGGGGUGCAGGUGCUGGCAAUAUGGAAAGGGAUGAGACAAGUCCUUGGCCCUCAUGGAACUGUUAGGAGAGAGGGAAGGGGGCAGAUUAUUAGUACAGGGUAUAUGUAGUGGGUGAGAGGGAGGCACAGGGGAGGCAGCCCCCAGGGGGACACCUAAAGCAGCCAGGAAGGCAGAUGGCUAAAACAUCUUCUGAAGCAGGAGCAUCAGGAGGCAGCCAGGGGAAGACGGACAGUCCAGUAUGUUCCGAGCCGGAAGUGCACUUGGAGUCCAGGAAGGACAAAGGCCCACCUACCCUGGCCUUUUCGCUGGAGAAAAAGAUUCAAAUCAGCACACCCUGACGUGGGGCGGCAUUUUCCAGUGAAAGGGCCCUGUGGUCAGGCUCCUUCCAUAUCUGCCGCGAAGUCAUCCACUCCAACUGCCAAGGACUCCCAUCCCUGGCACACCUGCCUCCUGCAGGAAGACUAGAGGCUUUGAGCACUUCCCAUCACAGCUGCAUGGAGCUCUGAGUGCCAGCCCCUCAGACUGUCCCAUAUGUGUAGGAUCCAAAGGUCCUGGUAACCACUGUUCUGCUUGCUGUUGCCAUGAGUCUGACUACUCUUGAUAUAUUGGGUAUGCACCCAAGGAAAGAUUAAAAGAAGUAAAAGGAACUCAGCAAACAUAGCCCCGCCUGUUUACCAAAAACAUCACCUCCAGCAUUUCCAGUAUUGGAGGCACUGCCUGCCCAGUGACAUCUGUUCAACGGCCGCGGUAUCCUGACCGUGCAAAGGAACAAAUGGAAAUACUGCAUACUCUUCAGAGGCUUCUCUACGUGGGAGCAUAAGACUCCAUUCAAAGACAAGUAAACCACAGUCUGUGCUGCACUCUCACCACCUUUGACUUCAUACAGCUGUGAAGGAGUAUGCCUGCCCAGGAUACAGAGGGUGGGCACAACCAGACAUCCUCCUUCAGCUUCAAGAUGAGUAAGAGAAAAUUUACACUUGAUUCAGUUUUGUAUAAACUGUAAAAAGCAGUGUGUGGCUUUGUAUUUUACCUGUGACCAACUCCAUAGUUUAUAAGUAUUAAGACAUUGUCGUAGUGAGUAAA